ACUCAAAUGAAUAGACGGGGGCCCGCACAAGCAGCGGAGCGUGUGGUUUAAUUCGACGCGACGCGCAGAACCUUACCAGGGCUUGACAUGUGUCUUACAGCCGGUGAAAGCCGGUGUCCCGCGAGGGAGUGGCGCACAGGUGCUGCAUGGCUGUCGUCAGCUCGUGCCGUGAGGUGUUGGGUUAAGUCCCGCAACGAGCGCAACCCCCGCCGCUAGUUGGAUCAUCUAGCGGGACUGCCGGGACCAACCCGGAGGAAGGUGGGGAUGACGUCAAGUCAGCACGGCCCUUACGCCCUGGGCUACACACACGCUACAAUGGGGGGGACAACGGGACGCCAAGCCGCGAGGCGGAGCCAAUCCUUCAAACCCUCCCUCAGUUCAGAUCGGGGGCUGCAACUCGCCCCCGUGAAGGCGGAGUUGCUAGUAACCGUGGGUCAGCACACCGCGGUGAAUACGUUCCCGGGCCUUGCACACACCGCCCGU
rnacentral:rRNA from 1 species